CAGCCGCCACGGUAAUACGUAGGGCGCAAGCGUUAUCCGGAAUUACUGGGCGUAAAGAGCUCGUAGGCGGUUUGUCGCGUCUGCCGUGAAAGUCCGGGGCUCAACCCCGGAUCUGCGGUGGGUACGGGCAGACUAGAGUGAUGUAGGGGAGACUGGAAUUCCUGGUGUAGCGGUGAAAUGCGCAGAUAUCAGGAGGAACACCGAUGGCGAAGGCAGGUCUCUGGGCAUUAACUGACGCUGAGGAGCGAAAGCAUGGGGAGCGAACAGGAUUAGAUACCCGUGUAGUCCCUGUCUCUUAUAA
rnacentral:rRNA from 1 species